GACGAACGCUGGCGGCGUGCCUAACACAUGCAAGUCGAGCGGAGAAUUCAGCAAUGGAUUCUUAGCGGCGGACGGGUGAGUAACGCGUGGGCAACCUGCCUUGUACAGGGGGAUAACACAGGGAAACUUGUGCUAAUACCGCAUAACAUCGUUGGAGGACAUCCUCUGAUGAUCAAAGGAGCAAUCCGGUAUAAGAUGGGCCCGCGUCCAAUUAGCUAGUUGGUGGUGUAACGGACCACCAAGGCGACGAUUGGUAGCCGAACUGAGAGGUUGGACGGGCGCAUUGGGACAGAGACACGGCCCAGACUCCUACGGGAGGCAGCAGUGGGGGAAAUCGCGCAAUGGGGGAAACCCUGACGCAGCAACGCCGCGUGAAGGAUGAAGGUUUUCGGAUCGUAAACUUCUUUGAUGAGGGAAGAAUAAAUGACGGUACCUCAAAAACAAGCCACGGCUAACUACGUGCCAGCAGCCGCCGUAAGAC
rnacentral:rRNA from 1 species